UUGGUCAAUGGCCGAAAGGCUGAACCAGUCACUUGGAAGAAUGAAAUUGUAUUUAUAUAAUACAACAGCGAUUCACUCGCAUAAAAUUCUAAAUAGGUUCUAUAUAAUGACAUAAUCUAUUUAUAAGUCUUGACCAAACUACGUGCCAGCAGUCGCGGUAAUACGUAGGAGGCUAGUGUUAGUUAUCAUUAUUGGGUUUAAAGGGUAUGUAGACGGUAAAUUAAACUCCAAAAGAGUACUUUUUUACUAGAGUUAUAUGUGAGAAGGAAGAAUUCCUGGAGUAGAGAUAAAAUUUGUUGAUACCAGGAGGACUGUCAACGGCGAAGGCGUCCUUCUAUGUAAUUACUGACGUUGAGAUACGAAGGCUUGGGUAGCAAACAGGAUUAGAUACCCUAAUAGUCCAAGCAGACAAUGAUGAAUGUCAUACAUUAGAGAAUUUUAAUGUAUAAACGAAAGUGUAAGCAUUCCACCUCAAGAGUACUAUGGCAACAUAUAAACUGAAAUCAUUAGACCGUUCCUGAAACCAGUAGUGAAGUAU
rnacentral:rRNA from 1 species